CAAUAGCGUAUAUUUAAGUUGUUGCAGUUAAAAAGCUCGUAGUCGGAUUUUGGCUGAGAACGAACGGUCCGCCGUUAGGUGUGCACUGUUUGGUCUCAGCUUCCUGGUGAGGAGGUGUGCUUCACGGCCACUUAGUCACCGUGGUUACUUUGAAAAAAUUAGAGUGUUCAAAGCGGGCUUACGCUUGAAUAUAUUAGCAUGGAAUAACACCAUAGGACUCCUGUCCUAUUUCGUUGGUCUCGGGACGGGAGUAAUGAUUAAGAGGAACAGUUGGGGGCAUUCGUAUUUCAUUGUCAGAGGUGAAAUUCUUGGAUUUAUGAAGGACGAACUUCUGCGAAAGCAUUUGCCAAGGAUGUUUUCAUUGA
rnacentral:rRNA from 1 species